UCCGUGUUGUUAGCUUAGUUUAGGUGUGCUUACUGGUAUACUAACAACGUUAUGAAGCGCCUAAAUCAUUAUAAUGUAAUGAUUGUUAGGUACCGUUACUGUUAGUUCAUAUCAGUUAAAGGUCAAUUCGCCUCAGCUUUGCAGCGUGGGAUUUCUUUCAAAAUGUUUUGCAGAUAAGUUCUGCUGCCAUGUAGAUCUGCUAACUGGCUGCUGUUCUCCGUGUUUACAUCCCUGUUGCCGCUUCAAUGGGGAAAAGGAAAGAUAUGAUUCACCCCAGGUUCCUCGGUGAGGGCGGCUCCAGCCUGCACAGCGUUCACAAGCGCAAACACAAAAAACACAAGAAGCACAAGAGGAAGCACCACAGCUUCCCCGAGGCGCCGGAGC